GACGAACGCUGGCGGCGUGCCUAAUACAUGCAAGUAGAACGCUGAAGGAGGAGCUUGCUUCUCUGGAUGAGUUGCGAACGGGUGAGUAACGCGUAGGUAACCUGCCUGGUAGCGGGGGAUAACUAUUGGAAACGAUAGCUAAUACCGCAUAAUAGUAUAUGUUGCAUGAGAUUUGCUUAAAAGGUGCAAUCGCAUCACUACCAGAUGGACCUGCGUUGUUUUAGCUAGUUGGUGGUGUAACGGCGCACCAAGGCGACGAUACAUAGCCGGCCUGAUAGGGUGAUCCGCCACACUGGGAAUGAGAAAAGGCCCAGAAUCCUACGGGGGGCAGCAGUAGGGGAUCUUCGGCAAUGGAGGGAAGUCUGACCGAGCAACGCCGCGUGAGUGAAGAAGGUUUUCGGAUCGGAAAGAUCCGUUGUAAGAGAAGAAAGAGUGUGGGAGUGGAAAGUUCACACUGUGACGGUAUCUUACCAGAAAGGGACGGCUAACUACGUG
rnacentral:rRNA from 1 species